GCUGCCGCCGCUGCGGCUGCGGCUGCUGCUGCUGCUGCAACAGCCAACACCUGCUGUUGCUGCUGUUGUUGUUGCUGCUGCUGC
rnacentral:sRNA from 1 species